rnacentral:rRNA from 1 species
UGGGGAAUAUUGCGCAAUGGGGGGAACCCUGACGCAGCAACGCCGCGUGCAGGAAGAAGGUCUUCGGAUUGUAAACUGUUGUCGCAAGGGAAGAAGACAGUGACGGUACCUUGUGAGAAAGUCACGGCUAACUACGUGCCAGCAGCCGCGGUAAUACGUAGGUGACAAGCGUUGUCCGGAUUUACUGGGUGUAAAGGGCGCGUAGGCGGACUGUCAAGUCAGUCGUGAAAUACCGGGGCUUAACCCCGGGGCUGCGAUUGAAACUGACAGCCUUGAGUAUCGGAGAGGAAAGCGGAAUUCCUAGUGUAGCGGUGAAAUGCGUAGAUAUUAGGAGGAACACCAGUGGCGAAGGCGGCUUUCUGGACGACAACUGACGCUGAGGCGCGAAAGUGUGGGGAGCAAACAGGAUUAGAUACC